UACGGAGGAUCCGAGCGUUAUCCGGAUUUAUUGGGUUUAAAGGGAGCGUAGGCGGGAUAUCAAGUCAGCUGUGAAAUGUAGAUGCUCAACAUCUGCACUGCAGUUGAAACUGGUGUUCUUGAGUGCGUAAGAGGUAGGCGGAAUUCGUCGUGUAGCGGUGAAAUGCAUAGAUAUGACGAAGAACUCCGAUUGCGAAGGCAGCUUACUGGGCCGCAACUGACGCUGAAGCUCGAAGGUGCGGGUAUCAAACAGG
rnacentral:rRNA from 1 species